GGAGCAGUGGCGAAACUGCACACGCGGCGCUCUUGGAAGGCGCUGCCGCGCAAGCCGAUUGCGGGUUCAAAUCCCCCUGCUCCACCU
rnacentral:tRNA from 1 species